CCCUUAGAUGUCCGGGGCCGCACGCGCGCUACACUGAUGAAUUCAACGAGCACUAACCUGUGCCGAAAGGUUCGGGUAAUCUUGUGAAAUUUCAUCGUGAUGGGGAUUGAUUAUUGCAAUUUUUAAUCAUAAACGAGGAAUGCCUAGUAAGCGUGAGUCAUCAGCUCACGUUGAUUACGUCCCUGCUCUUUGUACACACCGCCCGUCGCUCCUACCGAUUGAAUGUGCCAGUGAAAAGUUAGGAUUGGGCGUGGGAGACGGCAACGUAUUCCACAUCCGAGAAAAUCUUUAAACUUUCCCAUUUAGAGGAAGGAGAAGUCGUAACA
rnacentral:rRNA from 1 species